AGUAGUUUGUAUUCUGCUCAGGACGAACGCUGGCGGCGUGCCUAAUACAUGCAAGUCGAACGAACUCUGGUAUUGAUUGGUGCUUGCAUCAUGAUUUACAUUUGAGUGAGUGGCGAACUGGUGAGUAACACGUGGGAAACCUGCCCAGAAGCGGGGGAUAACACCUGGAAACAGAUGCUAAUACCGCAUAACAACUUGGACCGCAUGGUCCGAGUUUGAAAGAUGGCUUCGGCUAUCACUUUUGGAUGGUCCCGCGGCGUAUUAGCUAGAUGGUGGGGUAACGGCUCACCAUGGCAAUGAUACGUAGCCGACCUGAGAGGGUAAUCGGCCACAUUGGGACUGAGACACGGCCCAAACUCCUACGGGAGGCAGCAGUAGGGAAUCUUCCACAAUGGACGAAAGUCUGAUGGAGCAACGCCGCGUGAGUGAAGAAGGGUUUCGGCUCGUAAAACUCUGUUGUUAAAGAAGAACAUAUCUGAGAGUAACUGUUCAGGUAUUGACGGUAUUUAACCAGAAAGCCACGGCUAACUACGUGCCAGCAGCCGCGGUAAUACGUAGGUGGCAAGCGUUGUCCGGAUUUAUUGGGCGUAAAGCGAGCGCAGGCGGUUUUUUAAGUCUGAUGUGAAAGCCUUCGGCUCAACCGAAGAAGUGCAUCGGAAACUGGGAAACUUGAGUGCAGAAGAGGACAGUGGAACUCCAUGUGUAGCGGUGAAAUGCGUAGAUAUAUGGAAGAACACCAGUGGCGAAGGCGGCUGUCUGGUCUGUAACUGACGCUGAGGCUCGAAAGUAUGGGUAGCGAUGACCCUAGGUAUCCAUACCGUAAACGAUUGAAGCUAACGUAGUUGGAGGGUUUCCGCCCUUCAGUGCUGCAGCUAACGCAUUAAGCAUUCACGCGGGGCGCAAGCUGAAACUCAAAGGAAUUGACGGGGGCCCGCACAAGCGGUGGAGCAUGUGGUUUAAUUCGAAGCUACGCGAAGAACCUUACCAGGUCUUGACAUACUAUGCAAAUCUAAGAGAUUAGACGUUCCCUUCGGGGACAUGGAUACAGGUGGUGCAUGGUUGUCGUCAGCUCGUGUCGUGAGAUGUUGGGUUAAGUCCCGCAACGAGCGCAACCCUUAUUAUCAGUUGCCAGCAUUAAGUUGGGCACUCUGGUGAGACUGCCGGUGACAAACCGGAGGAAGGUGGGGAUGACGUCAAAUCAUCAUGCCCCUUAUGACCUGGGCUACACACGUGCUACAAUGGAUGGUACAACGAGUUGCGAACUCGCGAGAGUAAGCUAAUCUCUUAAAGCCAUUCUCAGUUCGGAUUGUAGGCUGCAACUCGCCUACAUGAAGUCGGAAUCGCUAGUAAUCGCGGAUCAGCAUGCCGCGGUGAAUACGUUCCCGGGCCUUGUACACACCGCCCGUCACACCAUGAGAGUUUGUAACACCCAAAGUCGGUGGGGUAACCUUUUAGGAACCAGCCGCCUAAGGUGGGACAGAUGAUUAGGGUGAAGUCGAAAACAAGGUAACCG
rnacentral:rRNA from 1 species